rnacentral:rRNA from 1 species
CCCGCUGAACUUAAGCAUAUCAAUAAGCGGAGGAAAAGAAACCAACAGGGAUUGCCUCAGUAACGGCGAGUGAAGCGGCAACAGCUCAAAUUUGAAAUCUGGCCCUCGGGUCCGAGUUGUAAUUUGUAGAGGAUGCUUCUGGCGCGGUGCCUUCCGAGUUCCCUGGAACGGGACGCCAUAGAGGGUGAGAGCCCCGUCUGGUUGGACGCCUAGCCUCUGUGAAGCUCCUUCGACGAGUCGAGUAGUUUGGGAAUGCUGCUCUAAAUGGGAGGUAUAUGUCUUCUAAAGCUAAAUACCGGCCAGAGACCGAUAGCGCACAAGUAGAGUGAUCGAAAGAUGAAAAGCACUUUGAAAAGAGGGUUAAAUAGUAUGUGAAAUUGUUGAAAGGGAAGCGUUUAUGACCAGACUUUUUCUAGGCAGAUCAUCCGGUGUUCUCACCGGUGCACUUUGCCUAGUUGAGGCCAGCAUCGGUUUCUAUAGAGGGAUAAAAACAGUGGGAAUGUGGCUCCUCCGGGAGUGUUAUAGCCCAUUGUAUAAUACCUUUACGGGGACCGAGGUUCGCGCUCUGCAAGGAUGCUGGCGUAAUGGUCAUCAACGACCCGUCUUGAAACACGG